GUGGGGAAUCUUCCGCAAUGGACGAAAGUCUGACGGAGCAACGCCGCGUGAGUGAAGAAGGUUUUCGGAUCGUAAAGCUCUUUCGUUAGGGACGAACGUGCUCUUUGUGAAUAAUGAGGAGUAAUGACGGUACCUAAAUAUGAAGCCACGGCUAACUACGUGCCAGCAGCCGCGGUAAUACGUAGGUGGCAAGCGUUGUCCGGAAUUAUUGGGCGUAAAGCGCGCGCAGGCGGGAUAUCAAGUCUGUCUUAAAAGUGCGAGGCUCAACCUCGUGAGGGGACAGAAACUGGUAUUCUUGAGUGUCGGAGAGGAAAGUGGAAUUCCAAGUGUAGCGGUGAAAUGCGUAGAGAUUUGGAAGAACACCAGUGGCGAAGGCGACUUUCUGGACGAUGUCUGACGCUGAGGCGCGAAAGCUAGGGGAGCGAACGGGAUUAGAUACCCGGGUAGUCC
rnacentral:rRNA from 1 species